GCCUCUAUGGCGCAGUGGUAACGCGUCGCACUUGUAUAGAUCGACGUCUCACUGGACCAAUCGACUGAGCAAAUGCGAAGAUCCCUAGUUCAAUUCUGGGUGGAGGCA
rnacentral:tRNA from 1 species